GUCUGGAUGGUCUAGUUGGUUAUGACGUCGGUCUCAUAAUCCGAAGGUCGUGAGUUCGAUUCUCGCUCUGGACA
rnacentral:tRNA from 1 species